rnacentral:lncRNA from 1 species
GGAAAUUGGCCACCCAUGCUGCUGUUACAUUUUGUAGUUGAAGUGCAUGCAGCUUGAUGACAUGCUGCAGCACAUAUGCUUGCUGUAACAGCAAGGUUUCUCUUUAGUUUCAUUCUAAUUAAUCUAGUUUAAAAUGGACAAGUUGAUGACAACUUGAUGCAUUAGGUGUUGAAUGACUAGUUUAGGUGGCUUGUUUAUGUGUACAAGCAAUGUUUUAAUAGUCCCAAUGCUGAUUAGUGGGGUUAGUUGACUAUUCGGUGAUGUAUUUGACUAUAAAUGUAUGUUUUUUCUAGUUGAAUGAAUAAGCUGAAUGAGCUAUCAUCCAUUAGCUCCCUUGCUGCACAUUUGUGAGCAAGUAAAAAUGCUUCUUGCACCUUGCUUCAUGUUCUGUUUUCUCUGUUCUUUUUUUACUGCUGCCAAUGUUCCAACAAUUGGUAUCAUGAGCCUAUGUCUUACGGGACCAUUGAUUUUACUUCUGUUGCUUGUUAAAAAGAAAGAAGCUGUCAAAGCACAAGCAAGUCUUUAAGGACUGCUUGUAGAGAAGACAACAUCGGCUCAAACUUAUAAGACCCCCAAACAAGCUUGAAUAAGCUGAAGGAGGAGUUUCAAGGAAAGGUGUGAGCUUUCCAAAUAUGCAAGCUUAGCAAGAUGUCAAAGCUGCAAGCUUAGGAAAGUACGAGCCUGAUGAAGACACCUGUUGAAGACAAUAAGCAAAGAUGUGAGUCUGUCAAAGGUGUGAGCUCAGCAACAUGUGGAAGCUCAAUGCGUGUUGUAUGGUUGCAAGCCUGAUGAAGGCUGUAAGCAAAGUGUGAGCCUGUCGAUUUGCAAGCCAAAAUGGCAGAAUGAAGGCAAGCAACUAUACUCACGAACUGUUUGUGCAAGAAGAAAAUGAAUUGGUCAGCUUGAAACAAAGCAACUAAGGACUGUCAAGUUCAAAAAAACUUGAUGAAUGACUGGUAUUUGCAGCAUGGAGUCCAAGGAAGAGUAUUGGAAAUUGGCCACUCAUGCUGCUGUUACAUUUUGUAGUUGAAGUGCAUGCAGCUUGAUGACAUGCUGCAGCACAUAUGCUUGCUGUAACAGCAAGGUUUCUCUUUAGUUUCAUUCUAAUUAAUCUAGUUUAAAAUGGACAAGUUGAUGACAACUUGAUGCAUUAGGUGUUGAAUGACUAGUUUAGGUGGCUUGUUUAUGUGUACAAGCAAUGUUUUAAUAGUGCCAAUGCUGAU